CGGAAGUGAUAAGUGCUGAAAGAAACUAAGUACGAAACUCGUCCAGAGGUGAGGUCUCACUGAAUCCUGGUGGGUACUGAUGGAACGUUGAAGACGACGACGUUGAUAGGCCGAGUGUGUAAGCGGAGCGAUGCGUUGAUCUAAUCGCUACUAGUGAACCGUGAGGCUUAACCUUACAACGCCGAAGCUGUU
rnacentral:rRNA from 1 species